AUUCCAGCUCCAAUAGCGUAUAUUAAAGUUGUUGCAGUUAAAACGCUCGUAGUCGGAUUUCGGGGCGGGCCGACCGGUCUGCCGAUGGGUAUGCACUGGCCGGCGCGUCCUUCCACCCGGAGACCGCGCCUACUCUUAACUGAGCGGGCGCGGGAGACGGGUCUUUUACUUUGAAAAAAUCAGAGUGUUUCAAGCAGGCAGUCGCUCUUGCAUGGAUUAGCAUGGGAUAAUGAAAUAGGACUCUGGUGCUAUUUUGUUGGUUUGCACGCCGAGGUAAUGAUUAAAAGGGACGGUUGGGGCUCUUCGUAUUCAAUUGUCAGAGGUGAAAUUCUUGGAUUUAUGGAAGACGAACUGCUGCGAAAGCGUCGAACAAGGACGUUCUCAUCA
rnacentral:rRNA from 1 species